rnacentral:lncRNA from 1 species
ACGGAGGAGGUGGUGCUCGGGCAGGAAAACGGAAAUAAUAGUCUCUGAUAAGGAAAGCUGGACUAUAAACAGGUUGCUUUAAAAAAAAAAAAAAAGAGAAAGAGCAGUGGAGCUGUAUUUCCUAGGCUAGACAGCCCGCCAGGCGGUAGCAAGUGACAAUCGCAAGCGGUGUGAGGGGUGUGGUGAGGGCGAGGGGAGAAGUGGCGAUUCCACCCUGCUCGUGGGUGGCCGCGGGCUGCGCUGGGGGGGCAGAAACCCACCGCUUUACUCGCCCUCCCGUCUGUGACGGGUCCCCCGCUGAGGAGAGGAGCCCGGGCCCCGGCGGAGGGGGAGCAGCUGGACCCGGGGGAGCCUGGGGGCUAAAUACUGCUGUAUGCAGGGAGCAAACAGGCAUGUCAACAGCUGGGGGCUGAGUCUGUAUCAUUAAGUAAAAAUUCAGCAGGGUGGGUGGAUGCUGCCGGAGAAAGGAAACGCUCCGCAGGAUAUACCAGGCAACGUCACGGACAUCUCGGAGGUUUUGGAGGACCCGAGGUAAACACCGCUCCCUCUCCCGCCUCGUGCGUGGCUGCUCCGAACGCGGCUUUUCCCGCUGCUUUGGCCACAGCGUCUCCCCACGCAGACCCGGGGGGGCCUCGCCCGGAGGAUUUUGUCUUCUGGCAGCUGUGA